rnacentral:rRNA from 1 species
CAACCUGCCGAUAACUCUGGGAUAGCCUUUCGAAAGAAAGAUUAAUACCGGAUGGCAUAGGAUUAUCGCAUGAUGAUCCUAUUAAAGAAUUUCGGUUAUCGAUGGGGAUGCGUUCCAUUAGGCAGUUGGUGAGGUAACGGCUCACCAAACCUUCGAUGGAUAGGGGUUCUGAGAGGAAGGUCCCCCACAUUGGAACUGAGACACGGUCCAAACUCCUACGGGAGGCAGCAGUGAGGAAUAUUGGUCAAUGGACGAGAGUCUGAACCAGCCAAGUAGCGUGAAGGAUGACUGCCCUAUGGGUUGUAAACUUCUUUUAUAUGGGAAUAAAGGAGCCUACGUGUAGGUUUUUGUAUGUACCAUACGAAUAAGGAUCGGCUAACUCCGUGCCAGCAGCCGCGGUAAUACGGAGGAUCCAAGCGUUAUCCGGAUUUAUUGGGUUUAAAGGGAGCGUAGGUGGAGGCUUAAGUCAGUUGUGAAAGUUUGCGGCCCAACCGUAAAAUUGCAGUUGAUACUGGGUUUCUUGAGUACAGUAGAGGUGGGCGGAAUUCGUGGUGUAGCGGUGAAAUGCUUAGAUAUCACGAAGAACUCCGAUUG